CCUCCCCUGCUGUGCCCAAACUGACGAUGGCCAAGUGUCGGCGGAACGUGGAGAACUUUCUGGAGGCGUGUCGCAGGAUCGGGGUUCCACAGACCCAGCUGUGCCUGCCCCUCCACAUCCUGGAGGAGAGAGGGCUCCCCCUGGUGGCCGGGAUGGUACGUGCGCUCCUGGAGCUGGCCCCGCCCAAAUACACAACCUCCCCUGCCACCACCACUAACCCUCUGGCCAUGUAGGGCAGCAGAGUUCCACACUCACUCAUGGAUGGACAGAUACAGGACCCACCCUCUCGCUCUCCGAAUGUACGUUAUAUGGCUUUCCCUCUCGACCACCCCCCACUUCCCCUCAACCCUAGACCCCCCCCCCCCCCCCCCCCUCAACCAUACAGGGUCACCCAGCCUUCCCAGACAGGUCUUCCCCAAUGAAGAGAGAAGAGGGAGCACGAGUACGUCAAAGAAAGGGAUGACUGUCUCUUCCUCUGUGUCCUCACACAGACUGCUUACGACUUGCAGCCUUACGGACGAACAGAUGGACAACCGAGAUUGUCCCAGACAAACAGUCAGUUGGACGGCGAGUAAGAGUGGUUUUUUAUUUUCUAUUAUUAGUCAUUUGACUUCUCUCUCCAUCCUCCUCUUAUCUAUGUUCAGUAGGGGUUGUUUUAUUUUCUAUUAUUAUUUCAUCUUAUUUUUCAUAUUCCUUUUACUUUCACAUGUUAGAUCCUUGCAUGUCAGAGGGGUUGGGUGGGUGUAUGGGGAAGGGUUAGGAGACUAGGAAGUUGUCGGUUGCAUAAGUAACCUUUUAAGGUCAUGUGCUACAAAGAGCAACAAUAACGGUGGUGGUCUGUCGUCAUGGGAACAUUGAUGCUGCCAACACUUAAAAUGAACCCGUCUUUUUUUUGUUUUGUUAUUGUGGUCAAAUCACGAGCUGGCUGAAUCAAAAACCGAUGCUGGAUUAGAGAGAGAGAGGGCGCUCCGGGAAUCUACGCUUUAUACUUUCUCAAAAUGUGUACAAAACAUUACGAACACCUUCCUAAUAUUCAGUUGCACCCCCAGAACAGCCUCAAUUCGUCAGGGCCUAGACUCUACAAGGUGUCGAAAGCAUU